UACGUAGGGCGCAAGCGUUGUCCGGGAUUAUUGGGCGUAAAGAGCUCGUAGGCGGUUUGUCGCGUCUGUCGUGAAAGCCCACGGCUUAACCGUGGGUCUGCGGUGGAUACGGGCAGACUAGAGGCAGGUAGGGGAGAAUGGAAUUCCCGGUGUAGCGGUGAAAUGCGCAGAUAUCGGGAGGAACACCGGUGGCGAAGGCGGUUCUCUGGGCCUGUACUGACGCUCAUGCACGAAAGCGUGGGGAGCAAACAGG
rnacentral:rRNA from 1 species